rnacentral:rRNA from 1 species
CAAUAGCGUAUAUUAAAGUUGUUGCAGUUAAAAAGCUCGUAGUUGGACUUCUGGUAGGAGCGACCGUGCCGAACUUGAUUGUUCGAGUAUUGUGUUGUCUUCAGCCAUCCUCGUGGAGAACUUUUCUAACAUUAACUUGUUGGGAUUGGGACCCGCGUCGUUUACUGUGAAAAAAUUAGAGUGUUUAAAGCAGGCAUUAGCUUGAAUACAUUAGCAUGGAAUAAUAAGAUAGGACUUUGGUACUAUUUUGUUGGUUUGCAUACCAAAUUAAUGAUCAACAGGAACAGUUUGAGGAUAUUCGUAUGAACAUGUCAGAGGUGAAAUUCUUGGAUUUUGAUCAGACGAACUACUGCGAAAGCAUUUAUCAAGGAUGUUUUCAUUAA